CACCGCGGUUAUACGAGAGACCCAAGUUGAUAGCCACCGGCGUAAAGCGUGGUUAAGUUAAAACUCAUACUAAAGUCAAACAUCUUCAAGACUGUUAUACGUAACCGAAGAUAGGAAGUCCAACCACGAAAGUGACUUUACUUGAUCUGAACCCACGAAAGCUAAGGGA
rnacentral:rRNA from 1 species